AUGAGCGAUAGCGGCGAGCGGGAAUCCCGUUCUGCUUCCAGAAGUAGAAGUGCUCACAGAUCGGGGAAAUCUGCAAGGCAUACCCCUGCAAGGUCUCGCUCCAAGGAAGGUUCUAGGCGUUCCAGAUCAAAAUCCAGGUCCAGAUCUGAAUCUAGGUCUAAGUCCAGAAGUUCUCGAAGGCAUUGUACAAGGUCACGGUCUCGAUUUCGUUCUCACAGACAUUCCGUAACAGGUCUUACUGUCGAGAUUAUCGCAGACGCCACAGCCACAGCCAUUCCCCCAUGUCUACUCAAAGGCGUCAUGUUGGGAAUCGGGUGAAUCCCGACCCAAACUGUUGUCUUGGAGUGUUUGGGUUGAGCUUGUACACCACAGAAAGAGAUUUAAGACAAGUAUUCUCGAAAUAUGGCCCAAUUGCCGAUGUGUCUAUUGUGUAUGACCAGCAGUCUAGGCUUUCGAGGGGAUUUGCCUUUGUGUAUUUUGAAAAUGCAGACGAUGCCAAGGAAGCUAAAGAACGUGCCAACGGAAUGGAACUUGAUGGGCGUAGAAUCAGAGUGGAUUUCUCUAUAACAAAAAGACCACAUACCCCAACACCAGGAAUUUCCAUGGGGAGACCUACCUACAGCAGUUCUCGCCAUCGGGAUUACUACGACAAAGGAUAUGACCGUGGCUAAGAUGAUCGGGAUACUACGGCAGGUCAUACAGAGGAGAUGGUGGAGGAGGAGGUGGAUGGAGAGCUGCUCAAGAUAGAGAUCAGAUUUACAGAAGGCGGUCGCCUUCUCCUUAUUACAGUCGUGGAGGAUAUAGACCUCGCUCCAGAUCUCGAUCCUACUCACCUCGUCGCUAUUAAAGCAUGACGAUGAAGACUUUCUGAAAGCUGCCAUCGAGCUGGGAUGUUGUUUGUGGACAAUAUUUUUAUUGUCUGUUUAAAAAGUGAACAGUGCCUAGUGAAGUUAGGUGACU